rnacentral:sRNA from 1 species
UGGUAGAUGCACCCUGGUUUUGAACCCUAGAGACUAACCUCUCUGGGGUUUUUUAUU